rnacentral:rRNA from 1 species
CUUGUGACCAUAUCACAUUGAAACAUUGGUUCCCAUACAGUCACCAAAGUUAAGCAAUGUUGAACCUGGCCAGUACCUAAAUGGGUAAUCGCUUGGGAAUACCAGGUACUGUAAG